AUGCCACUAGAUGAAUUUUGCAAGGUUUGCAAAAUACCCUUCGAGGGUACCUUAGAUGAACCACAUCGUAAAGAUGUGGACGGGUUUAUUGACACCAUCACUGUGGGGGAAACUAGGAAGGUUUCCGAUGCAAGAAUCACUAGCAUACAUUUUCCUGUUUUACGCUACUUUGCCAUAUUUGCUAGUCGUUGCUUAAUUGGUCGCGGAAACUGUGGAAACCUUAGUGUUCCUGAUAUUAUCAUUUUGUUCCAUGGUUUAUUUUCCGAUAACACUGUUAGUAUGGGGGUAUUAUUGCUAAACGGUUAA
rnacentral:rRNA from 1 species